UACGGCCUACGGGAGGCAGCAGUGGGGGAUAUUGCACAAUGGGGGAAACCCUGAUGCAGCGACGCCGCGUGGGUGAAGAAGCGCCUCGGCGCGUAAAGCCCUGUCAGCAGGGAAGAAAAUGACGGUACCUGAAGAAGAAGCCCCGGCUAACUACGUGCCAGCAGCCGCGGUAAUACGUAGGGGGCAAGCGUUAUCCGGAUUUACUGGGCGUAAAGCGCUCGUAGGCGGUAUGUCAAGUCAAGGGUGAAAUCCCCGCGCUCAACGUGGGAACUGCCUUUGAAACUGGCAAACUGGAGUGUGUGAGG
rnacentral:rRNA from 1 species